rnacentral:tRNA from 1 species
GCUGAUAUGGCUCAGGAGGUAGAGCACAUCCUUGGUAAGGAUGAGGUCCCGGGUUCGAGUCCCGGUAUCAGCUCCA